AUGUUCAGAGCAUUUUGUGACACUUCUUAUAAAAAAAUUAAAUCUAAAAUCCAUUUAUUUGUAAUUUAAAACAGGGCUUUGGACCCACGAGCCGUUCCGACCAGGGGGUCGUAAGUUGGCGCCCCUGUAUUUAACCUUAAAACAAGUCGAAAUCCCGAAAUAUGAGCUUUAAAAAUAAUAAUAAUAAUAAUUUAACCUUGUAUUUAACCUGUAUUUAACCUUAAAACAAGUCGAAAUCCCGAAAAAAAAAUAAUAAUAAUAAGCAUCAACAUGACUGGUGCGCACUAUGGCUUGUACUACUCUACAGAGAUGCCUCUUACAAUAACAAAGUUAAAGAAAUGCAAAAAACAGUUUAAAAGGGAAAAUAUCAGUAAAAAUGUAUUUAUUUAAAUCCUCCUCCCUGUGACAAAAUAAAAGAGUAAUCUUAGCUCGAGCUUGAGCCAAAAUCGAUGUAAGUUAUUCAAGGCACCCUGUAAUCUCACGAACAAUGGUUCCACUUUUAAUCGCUCAAUUUGAGUGUACCCACUAUUGGGUACAAAAGGUCACCUUUCUGUCGGACUUCAAAUGAAUCAAAAUUCUUGGUGUACCAAAUUAAACGUGCCAACUCCGACACUUUUGAAAGCGGACGUCCCAACUGUCAUACGUAUAUUUUCAAAACAUGUUCAAUGUUCUUGAAGUUCGUUUAAAAUACUAAAAAAACAUGAAAAACAAUAUUAAUAAAAAAAAAAGUAUUGAGAACUUACAAGAAAUCGAAAGCCGAACCGCAUCUGCCUUCCACGGAGAGAAAAUGCAUCGUUUCGCUUCGGCUCUACGGACGGGAUCGACGGAACGGGACAGCACCGAUUGCUAGUGGCUGCAAACUGCAGCGCAAUUUAUCUGCGAUUUGGGCUACUGCCGUCAAUUUAGGGUGAAGGACAAGUUGGACGGAUUUGUCCCCGCGGCAGGAUGAGCGGACAGCAAAGCAGUGCACGUUCAACUUCCGGAGAUCAGUUUUGGAAUUGCGGCAGGCGACACGGUCUAAUACCACUGACGAACUGACGUGCCACGCGGAAUCCAAUUUUGACCGCAACCCUCUUUUUCUUUUUCUUAUUAUUUUUUUCUUGAGCGAUUGUCAAACUCGUCUGUGCUAAAAGUGUCAAAGAGAACUGUCAUUUUGUGAGUGACGGGUAAAAUCAGCUGUUGGUUCACUUGGUCACACAAAAGUAAACAUGAAGGAAUGGGGAGAAAUUGCAGUGUGAAAAAUUGUUUUAAAAACGAUUCUAGAAAUUUAAGCAACACAACGAACCAGUGCAAGGCGGGCUGCGGCAUUUAAGAGGAAAACAGCGGAGAACAAUGAUUUAAAGAAACAGAUUCAAACAAAAAUAAACAAACAUAAAACGACUAGAAGAGUAAUUUCUUUAUUUCUUGAACGGAAAUGAUUGAUUGAAGAAUUAUUCACGAAUUAUGCACGAUAAGCCCUUGAAACCGAAUCUCUGCUGACCUCCGGUGGCAUGGAUUAUGCACGAUCAGCCCCUAAAGACAAAUCUGCGCUGACUUCCGGUGGCGCUGACAUCUAGUUAGCUUAAACAAAUCUUUAAAACUUAUAUAAACACAUCACACAGUUUACAAUUCCAAAAAUCCAGCGGGAGAAUCAAUUAAACAGCCAACAGGAUUCGUUCUGAGCACUGAUUCACAUUACUUACCUUAAAUUUAGACAAUAAAAGGGUAAAUUAAUAAAAACUAUCUAUGCCAAAUUGACCAUAACGUAAACACAUCAACUUUUGAAAAGCCGCUUUGAUGCUGUUUGUUUACAAACAUUUCUAAGAAUAUUGCUCAUUCGAUAAAAACGAUCAACGUGCGGUCAUCGUGAUUCAAAGGCAUUUCCUUUGCGAUGUUGCAAAAUGAAUUGCCGCAGUUUGAAUUUAGUUUAAGAUGUGCAAUACUUGAAAAUCAGCAGGAGCACCAAGAAAACCAAUGUCAAUAAUAAGAAGAAGGAUUCCGAGAGUCUGAAUGUAGAUGGUGCUAGUGUUUAACGGAAGAUUCAAAUUGUUUUGCGGUCAAGUUUUUUGCAUGAAUAUGUACGUGGUGGCACGUCAGUUCGUCAGUGCUAAUACGUAGAACAACGUGCCAGAUCCAUUUGGGGCGACUAGUUCAACACCGAAAGCUGAGCUCAAACCGGAAAAGGCCACCGCAAGUCGCGUGCCCCGUUGCGUGAAAGCUGCCAACCUGAGUGGUUCCGGCAAAGUUCGUCGAACGCCGCGGCGUCGUACCUCAAAGUAUAGACCUGCCGUAACUGUUCUGGGUAAUGGUUCAGUGACGCCGGUCAGCAGUACAAUUAAUUCUCGUGCUCCACGCCAAGAAGGGCACGGAAGUGGCAGACGAGCAUUCUCCCUCGAAAAAUAACCACGUCUAAGCGCCAGAAAUAGUGUGUACCAGCGAAAUCCGGUUAUUGUGUCAUCCAAGAUUGGCAAGAGGGAAGAGGAACAACUACAGCAGGAGGUGGUCAAGAGCGCGGAGAAAUUGUCGGUCGCUGGACAACAUCUUGCAGGACGUGAGAGCAUGGUCAAGGUCGGGGUCGGUGACCUGAGCCGGUCAAAUCGAGACCAGAGUCAAUAACAAGACGGUUCUGGGAGGUCAUCAACGGAAUCUGAUGAUGCAGGUUGUGAGCCAAGGUCAGAAGCCGGUUGCAGCCAUGAAGACGGUGGCCGGCAGGAUCGAUUGUUCCAGAACAUGGAUGUUUUUUGUGAGAAAAAGUUCAAAUUAAUAAAAAAAACUCCAUACUAUUACUCUCUUCCUCUAGGUUGUAACCACAUCAUUGUGAGUCCCUGUAUGUAUGUUUGCUAUGGUAUGUUGGGUUAGCCAAGACACGCACCAAAUUAGGGAAACUUUGCUUUUGAUCGUCGCCACCUAUGGGAGGAUAGCAGAAACCCUAUUUUGCACCGUUUUGCUCGAAAUAAAUGAUUUUUAAACAAAUUGUGUUCGGUUUGAAAUUAAAGCCAAUUGGGAAGCAUCUCCUGUGUAAAUUUUUUGAAGCUCAAUUUGUCCUUGAAAAUUAACAAGAAAGAGAGCAAAAUGAAAAGUCUUUUGUAUCAAAAUUUGGGAGAAAACUAAGAUUGCCGGUUCGUACAAGCGAUGAAGACUGACUCUCGUUCACUUUGGCAGAACUCGUGACACAGUCCGGAUCGUUUUGGAAGUAUUUUUACGACCGUGAUAUUUAGCGUCCUCUGAUUG